AAGAUAACAAACCAAAUUGAUCACCUUUACAACAACAAAGUAAAUAUUAUCAGAACUACACCACCAUUAACAGAAAGCACAUACAAUCAAAAUAAACCAAGUCACCAAAACCAUUUUGGACUAAAAUUGGUAAACACACACUCAAAAAUGGAACCACAAAACUAUAAAAUCAAUUACAUUAGCUUCUGUCUUGGUGUAAACACACAAUUCACACAGAUAUCAAUUACUACUAAAACAACAGAACAAACCAAAUGAUGAUGCUGGGAAAUUAAACCAAUAAUAAAAAAAAAAAGGGUAAACUACAA
rnacentral:misc_RNA from 1 species